UGGGGAAUAUUGCACAAUGGGGGAAACCCUGAUGCAGCGACGCCGCGUGAGCGAAGAAGGUUUUCGAAUCGUAAAGCUCUGUCCUAUGAGAAGAUAAUGACGGUAUCAUAGGAGGAAGCCCCGGCUAAAUACGGGCCAGCAGCCGCGGUAAUACGUAGGGGGCUAGCGUUAUCCGGAUUUACUGGGCGUAAAGGGUGCGUAGGUGGUCUUUCAAGUCGGUGGUUAAAGGCUACGGCUCAACCGUAGUUAGCCUCCGAAACUGGAAGACUUGAGUGCAGGAGAGGAAAGUGGAAUUCCCAGUGUAGCGGUGAAAUGCGUAGAUAUUGGGAGGAACACCAGUAGCGAAGGCGGCUUUCUGGACUGCAACUGACACUGAGGCACGAAAGCGUGGGUAGCAAACAGG
rnacentral:rRNA from 1 species